rnacentral:rRNA from 1 species
GAUGAACGCUGGCGGCGUGCCUAAUACAUGCAAGUCGAGCGAACAGACGAGGAUCUUGCUCCUUCGACGUUAGCGGCGGACGGGUGAGUAACACGUAUGUAACCUACCUAUAAGACUGGGAUAACUUCGGAAAAGCGGAGCUAAUACCGUAUAAUAUUUCGAACCACAUGGUUCGAUAGUGAAAGAUGGCGUUGGUAUCACUUAUAGAUGGACCUGCGCCGUAUUAGCUAGUUGGUAAGGUAACGGCUUACCAAGGCAACGAUACGUAGACGACCUGAGAGGGUGAUAGGCCACACUGGAACUUAGACAGGGUCAAGACUACUACGGGAGGCCGCAGUCGGGAACCUUACGCAAUGGGCGAAAGCAUGACGGAGCAACGCCGCGUCAGUGAUGAAGGUGUUCGGAUCGUAAUAAUCUGUUAUUAGGGAAGAACAACCGUCUAAGUAAAUGUGCACGUAUUGACGGUAACUAAUCAGAAAGCAACGGCUAACUACGUG